AGGAUGUUACGUACCGUAUUUUUAUACAUUGGGACAACCCGGAUUAACUAUGACAAUUAAGGGCCAAGACUAUUCCGGGAUUUGACGUCGGGACUUUUGACCAUUUGAUUUUAUUUUGAGACAUAAGUUGAAUAUGAAAUUGAUGGCAUUGGACACUUAGGAAAAAUUGGAACCACAAUUCAUAAAAUUGGAAUUUAAAAGUCUUGCACCAAAAGCCAUGGUGGCCGUGUGGACUUGAAAUGGUCCCACACAUUGUGUGGCCAAUUUUAAUUGGUCCAACACAUGUGUGGGCCAUAAACAAAGGGAGAUAUUUGUGGAUACAAAAAAAAAAAAAAAAGACUAAGUCAUCUUUCUCAUUUCCCACUUCUACACUUAGAGAAAAAUAACAAGACUUGGAGAGCCUCCACUCCCCCAUGGUUCUCGGCCACAACCAAGAAAAAUCAAGUCCCAUUUUUGCCUCUCUAAAAUUAUUUCUUUGGUAUAAACCCACUAUUUGGAGGUCCCUAAGUAGCGUGGAAGUAUUGUUUGGGUCAUUCAACCACUCAUUUUGCUCAUUUACAAACCCUAGCCUAUUGGUGGAUUGAAGAAUAAAGGUGAGUUCUAAUCUUGUUUUUGGAGUUAUAAAUGUUGUAUGCAUAUUGUAGUAUGCUAAAAUGGAUAAAAAUCAUGAAAUAUGGAAUGUUGAAGUUGGGUCUUGUGUUGGGUGUGUUGACCGUGUGAAGUAUAUGUGUGUGGUGUGGUAUUGGGUUGAUGAAUUAAUUGCUUGUAGCAUAUUGAUUGUCGUAGAGUGGAGAAGAGAAUAAAAAUCAUCGAUACAUGUAUAUGUGUAGUGUAGCCGUGUAUAUAGCCUCCAAAUGGUAGCAAAGAAUGAAUUAAUAUCGCUUAGCGUCGUAAUGGUUGUUGUGAUGAUUUGUAUGUUGGAAAUGAGAGUUAAAUGUCCCGAAUUGAUAUAGUAAGCGUUGCGGACUGAUUUGGAGAACUUUGUGCAUUUAAUGCAAUCCUUAUAUAUGAGAACCAUUAACAUAUGAAUAUGUGUAGUGUGAAUGAAUGUGAGUCAUAGAUUAUGCCGAAUAUCGCAUUAUUAUCGCUUAAGCGCUUUCGUGUCGUCGUUACGAAUUUUAGUUUGGAAUUGAGCAUUUAAUGACUUAAGAUUGAUGUUGAGAUUGUACGGGCUGAUUUGAGGGUUAUUGUGCGUUGAUGUAAUUUGUAUAUUUUAUGAAAAUGGUAUCGUUAUAUUGUGAAUUGUGAUACAAAACAUGAAUUGAAAGUCGGAAGUGUGCCCAGUGGGCUGCUCACGGGUAGGGGCUGUUUUCGGCCAAAAAUUUGGAGAAAUUGUGGAUUGUUGGAAAAAUUAUGUGAAUUUUUUAGAAUGUUCUUGAAUGUUGUUAGUAUGGGUUUGGGUUAAUAAUCGAAUGUACGAACGAUAUUGUGGCUUGAAAGUAAGCCAUUGAAUUGAAUAAUUGGAAAGUUGUCGAAUGGUGUAAAAGAGAGCUACUAUUAUUAUUUUGCCUUUCGAAUUGAUUAUCGAUGUUGCUAGGUUGGUUAUUGUGGUUGUUGUUGUUGAUUUUGAGCGAGUUAAAUUCUCGGGAUGGCCUAUUUAUAGGGGAAAUGCUGCCGAAUUUUCUGUAGAAUUUAAUGUUAGUUGGAAUAAAUGGCUUAAGUGCCUAUGUUUAAUAUUGGAUAUUCGUUGGCAUAUUUGUAGACCUUGGGGAGCCCGAGGCGUAGAUUGGAAUUUACUUUAUAUUGGCCAUCUUGGAGUGCGUACGAGGUACAGACGCACAGUUUGGUGAUCUACCCAUUUAGGACACCCUAUUCUGCUGUUUGGAGUGCUCUUCUCAUUUCAGAGCACACAUUUUGGUAUAUAUUCGUUCGCCAUGUAUAUAUGUAUUUGUUCAGGGGCACGGCGGGGCCCUGUCCCGCCAUAUGAUUCGGUUUGUCUGUUUAGAGGUCUGUAGACGUAUUUGUGGGUGUGUGUGCCUACUUCUGUA